UAAUUGUGGUGUCAGCUUCCUUAGGAAUAGA
rnacentral:piRNA from 1 species